CCUACGGGCGGCAGCAGUGGGGAAUAUUGGACAAUGGGGGCAACCCUGAUCCAGCCAUGCCGCGUGUGUGAAGAAGGCCCUCGGGUUGUAAAGCACUUUCAGGGAGGAAGAACGCCUGGUGGUUAAUACCCAUCAGGAAAGACAUCACUCACAGAAGAAGCACCGGCUAACUCCGUGCCAGCAGCCGCGGUAAUACGGAGGGUGCGAGCGUUAAUCGGAAUUACUGGGCGUAAAGCGCGCGUAGGUGGCUUGAUAAGCCGGUUGUGAAAGCCCCGGGCUCAACCUGGGAACGGCAUCCGGAACUGUCAAGCUAGAGUGCAGGAGAGGAAGGUAGAAUUCCCGGUGUAGCGGUGAAAUGCGUAGAGAUCGGGAGGAAUACCAGUGGCGAAGGCGGCCUUCUGGACUGACACUGACACUGAGGUGCGAAAGCGUGGGUAGCAAACAGGAUUAGAUACCCCUGUAGUC
rnacentral:rRNA from 1 species